rnacentral:rRNA from 1 species
CCUUCGGGUAGUGGAUAGUGGCAGACGGGUGAGUAACGCGUGGGAACGUGCCUUUCGGUUCGGAGUAACUCAGGGAAACUUGGGCUAAUACCGGAUACGCCCUUCGGGGGAAAGAUUUAUCGCCGAAAGAUCGGCCCGCGUCAGAUUAGCUUGUUGGUGAGGUAAUGGCUCACCAAGGCGACGAUCUGUAGCUGGUCUGAGAGGAUGAUCAGCCACACUGGGACUGAGACACGGCCCAG